AUGCUGAUAUACCUAAAUCAUACACUGAAGCUAAGAAUGUUCUUAGUGAAGUCGGGCUGGGUUACGAGACAAUUCAUGUUUGCAAGUUUGAUUGUGCAUUGUUUUGGGGCCAACAUGCCAACAAGAGUCAUUGUCCUGAAUGCGGGACAUCAAGAUGGAAAGACGAGGUGGGGAGGAAAAAGAUACCUCACAAGGUACUUAGGUACUUUCCUAUCAUCCCAAGGCUUCAAAGAUUUUUUUGUGUCAAAGGAACAAUCAGCAGAUGCAAGGUGGCAUAAGGAGAAGAGGGUUGCUGAGGCAAAUGUUAUGAGACACCCUGCUGAUGGUGAAGCAUGGAAGCACUUUGAUAGUGAGUUCAGUUGGUUUGCUAAGGAUGCCCGUAAUAUGAAGCUUGGUAUUGCCACGGAUGGAUUCAACCCCUUUGGAAACAUGACGAGUUCAUAUAAUAUGUGGCCUGUUUUUAUCAUCCCCUACAACUUCCCACCAUGGAUGUGCAUGGACCAAUCUAAUUUCAUGAUGUCUUUG
rnacentral:rRNA from 1 species